UACAGAGGGUGCAAGCGUUAAUCGGAAUUACUGGGCGUAAAGGGCGCGUAGGUGGUUGCGUAAGUGAGUUGUGAAAGCCCCGGGCUUAACCUGGGAAUUGCGACUUAUACUGCGUAACUGGAGUGCAAUAGAGGGUAGUGGAAUUUCCGGUGUAGCGGUGAAAUGCGUAGAUAUCGGAAGGAACACCAGUGGCGAAGGCGGCUACCUGGAUUGACACUGACACUGAGGCGCGAGAGCGUGGGGAGCAAACAGG
rnacentral:rRNA from 1 species